rnacentral:lncRNA from 1 species
GCGGAGCUCAGCAUCAUUCAUGUUUCCCAGCAGGUCUUGAAAAGCUUUAGUUUUACACGGAACACAUGGGGAGGAAAAACACAGCAAAACCAAUCCAGGGGAGUGACAGUAGGCAUGGUUCAGCUUCCUCCACUGAAAAAAACAAUGUAUGGAGAAAGACUCUUCAAGUUUUCAGCACACUAUGAAGAGGCUGUGCCCAUGGACCACUAGAGAUUCGGACAAUGGAGAUGUGGUUCAGCCUCCUCCACAUAAGAAACGAUGUGUGAGAAAAGCCCCAGAACCUCUGAAAGUUACGCUUUGAAGGCCAGUACCUAAAGAGCACACCUGUAAAGGAUGUGCAUGUCAGUGAUAUCCACAUAAACAGCAGAGCAUCAAAUGAAAUAAGGAACAAAACUUCACCUUUGCACUUUGCUACUGU